GGGCCCGCACAAGCGGUGGAGCAUGUGGUUUAAUUCGAUGCAACGCGAAGAACCUUACCAGGGUUUGACAUCCUGCGAAUCUCUUGGAAACGAGAGAGUGCCUUCGGGAGCGCAGUGACAGGUGGUGCAUGGCUGUCGUCAGCUCGUGUCGUGAGAUGUUGGGUUAAGUCCCGCAACGAGCGCAACCCACGUCUUUAGUUGCCAGCAUUUAGUUGGGCACUCUAGAGAGACCGCCGGUGAUAAACCCGGAGGAAGGUGGGGAUGACGUCAAGUCCUCAUGGCCCUUACAGGCUGGGCUACACACGUGCUACAAUGGCGAUGACAGUGGGCAGCGACCCGCAAGGGUGAGCUAA
rnacentral:rRNA from 1 species